UAGAUGUCCCUAUCUACUUUCUAGCGAAACCACUGCCAAGGGAACGGGCUUGGAAAAAUUAGCGGGGAAAGAAGACCCUGUUGAGCUUGACUCUAGUCUGGCAUUGUAAGGAGACAUGAGAGGUGUAGCAUAAGUGGGAGAUGAUAAUCGCCGGUGAAAUACCACUACUUUCAUCGUUUCUUUACUUACUCGGUUUGGCGGAGC
rnacentral:ncRNA from 1 species